GUUGAAGUAACACUCCCGCAGAAACUUAAGUCGAAAGAAUAACGACUCGAAGUUAUAGGAGCAAAGGAAUCCAAUGUCACAGUUAAUUUACUUUUACAGUAGGAUAAUCUUUUAUACAAGUUCCGAAUGCCAGCAUUACAAUCUACCGCUGCGUUACUGGCGCAAAGUCUGCUAUGAGGGGUAGAACAACCAUUAUACAGCACAACUGAGAUUCCUCAUGUCUAAAGACAGAAAAUGGCAUGGAGUUUCCGAUGUCUAUGGGUUCCGUGGACCACUUGACAGCAGUCGUAUUUGGAGCUCGUUCACGCGUCCAGUGCAACGCGAACCCACUGUGAGUAUUCUAAGCAUCGUUCGACGGAGAGCGAACGCAAUGUCAUUUUUCAUACAAAUCCCUCAUAAUCUUCGAAAGGUCGGCAAAUGAGACCGUUUAAUAACGAUGUAGGCCGCAAAAAAAAUUUCAAACAACCAAAUAAAGUAACGGAAUAAGACCGCAUUGAGAAGACCUUAAGCUUGGGAAAGGAGCGCGAAACCGCAAAAGUUCAAACAUGAAAUAAUAGAAACAAAGUAUUUGUGUUUAUAUUGCGAACACGGUUCGAAUAUAAUACAUUUUAGGAAAUUUCUAGAAUCAAACGGCAUUGAAACGAAGGCUUUUUUUAUUUAUUAAAUGAAGCGGAUAAGCGGAAUAUUAGAAGUGCUUCUGUGUCUGUAAAUGUCUAAAAGUGCUAACGUAUUACGAGUAUGUAUAGUAACGUAUUUUUAAGCUAUUGUGUUGCUUUUAUCACGGCUUUAAGCGUGGCGACCGAAUCAAGAAAUUCCGUAACGAAAAUAAAACCUAACACCCCCCACUCCGCCUACCAUGUAGGUAGCUCGCGUUCAACACAUUCACACGUUGCGCUUGUGUAAUGUUUGUGAAAAAGCGCGCGGCGUGACGUCGCACUGCACAAAAGUCUGCCCCUCUCUCUCUCGCGUGGUCUAGCUUAUGAGUGUGAAGGGGACAGUUAAUGUUUUGCUUUUGUUAAUGUUUAUAAAUAUAGCCUGGUCUUAUUUUAUUGUUUUAAUAUUAAAUUAUUAUUGUCUAAAAUUGCAUAAGUUGAUAAAAAAUGCUACGCAAUAGCUUUACCGCGGCAGUUACCGAGUGCCACACCUGUUUUUUUUUAUAGUAACGUAUUUUAAUAUGAUUUUUUAUGUAUGUUGCUUUGUCCAACUAUAAAUAAAUAAAUACAUUAUUUUC